GUUUCACUGGGGUAAUGCCAUCUCCUCAAGCCCAAGGCCACCAGCGCUGAGAACUGGAGCUGUGGGACAGCAUCGGGCUGCAGAGCUCACAUAAAAAUAAGAAAAGCGGGAACCUCUCUCGGCCCACCUCACCCGAACCUGGGCCAGCAGAAGGAACCACGCUGUCCCGGCCAAGCCCUCCAACCAGCCCAGUCCGCCAUCUGGUGCCCACGCUGCUCAGGCUUCCCCUCAUUUCCGUGCUUGUCUCUGGGAGCAUCCACUGGAUACCGGGUGGACUGGAAAGCGCACACAAAGGAGACACCGAAGCCUGUGCCCUGGCGUGCUCACAACCCAAACACAGCGUGAGAAAGAGCCCCUAAAACGAUCUGGCCAGAGGUUACACGGCAGGUUCCAGCAAAGUGAGAGCCAGCCAACCCCACGCCCCACGUUCCAGCACAAGUCCAGUGUCUGCAGAAAAGGAGCCCCAGGACCAAGCCACUCACCAACACUGAACAGAUCAGGAGUCCAGCCAGCUGAAGGGACGCUGGCCCGGUCACCCAGAAAGUCUGUGGCAGCCCUCACCACCCGCAUCACAGGGCGCUUUUGCAUCCCAGAAGGCAGCCAAGAAUGCAAGACUCAGA
rnacentral:lncRNA from 1 species